rnacentral:rRNA from 1 species
UACGAAGGAUGCAAGCGUUAUCCGGAUUCAUUGGGUUUAAAGGGUGCGUAGGCGGACUUGUAAGUCUGUGGUGAAAUCUCUCAGCUUAACUGAGAAACUGCCAUUGAUACUGCAGGUCUAGAGUACAGAUGAUGUGGGCGGAAUAUGACAUGUAGUGGUGAAAUACUUAGAUAUGUCAUAGAACACCGAUUGCGAAGGCAGCUCACAAAACUGUAACUGACGCUGAGGCACGAAAGUGCGGGGAUCAAACAGG